rnacentral:lncRNA from 1 species
GCUCUUUGGAAACCAAGAAACACUCUGAAAAUGAAAAGGGUGGAAGAGUAAACUGUUCCUGUUUCUCCAUCUUGACAGGAAGCAGAAGUUCUCCUUAGCUGAUUUUUCUUCUUGCCUUAUACUGGGUUCUUUAACACCAGAACAAAAAUAAAUAAAUAAAAGAAUCUUCCAGAAAUUCAUGAAGAGACUUCAGGUCAGGAAAGCCUGAACUUUCUCAUCCAACACCCGUUCAAGUCGGAGGAUGCUGAUUAAUUCAUGAUGGAAAGGUAUCAAUUUCACAGCCCAGACCUCUACAUUCUUGAAAUGCUCUUCUCAUGGGAGACAUUAAAUAAGCUUUGAAUUAACUGAAGAACCAAUGAUGUGAUCCCUGGAUACUGGCAAUUGUUGCCCAAGAAAACCUCUCCCCUUGCUGUGGGACUGCUGGGCACCCAAAUAAUGCACCCAAAUAAUUUGAUAGCUCUUGUUACACAGCUCUUCUUGGACUAAAAGGCCCUCAGCAUUCCUGUCAAUUUCUACACUCCUGAAGCUUCAUCUGGAGACCUCUGUGGAUUCUAUAACUCAAAGACCCAGGCUGACGGCUGGUGGAAUAGCUACCAUCUCAAACAUGGCGUGAUGCUGCAUCAGAGAGAAAAAUAAGCUCUUGCAUUGACAAUGAAAUGUCUACCCUGUAGUGACUUGUGCUUACUUCCACUCACAAGUGAUUGCCCAGAGCUACUUACCUGGCUCCAAUCUACCACUGGUGCCAUGACACCCAGGAUGCAGCUGUAGGAACACCACUGGGUCCCUGGAUGUCAUGUAAGCCCUUAAGUAAAAGUGCCAUCAAAUGAUUUCUCAGAAAUUAUAAAGAAACAAAA